UAUAAGAAGCUUAACUGAUUCGUGUUUGUAGGACACUGGGACAUGGCAAUACGUAUGUGGAUAUGGAGAUACACAUAUGUGAAUAUUUGGAUGCAUCUAUGGAUGGAGGGACAAUAAAAGAAUGGAUGCACUUGGCUUUAGCAAGGAGGUCAGUGUUUCCUGCUGCUAAUAGGAAAAAGGCAAUCAGACAGGUCGCCUUAGUUUCUUCAUCACUGGGACGCCUCAUGUUUUAACUCAGCACAUUUCCAGUGGGAUGAAGACAACAG